GAUGAACGCUGGCGGCGUGCCUAAUACAUGCAAGUAGAACGCUGAAGGAGGAGCUUGCUCUUCUGGAUGAGUUGCGAACGGGUGAGUAACGCGUAGGUAACCUGCCUGGUAGCGGGGGAUAACUAUUGGAAACGAUAGCUAAUACCGCAUGACAACAGUUAUUGCAUGAUAACUGUUUAAAAGGGGCAACUGCUCCACUACCAGAUGGACCUGCGUUGUAUUAGCUAGUUGGUGAGGUAACGGCUCACCAAGGCGACUAUACAUAGCCGACCUGAGAGGGUGAUCGGCCACACUGGGACUGAGACACGGCCCAGACUCCUACGGGAGGCAGCAGUAGGGAAUCUUCGGCAAUGGACGGAAGUCUGACCGAGCAACGCCGCGUGAGUGAAGAAGGUUUUCGGAUCGUAAAGCUCUGUUGUAAGAGAAGAACGAGUGUGAGAGUGGAAAGUUCACACUGUGACGGUAUCUUACCAGAAAGGGACGGCUAACUACGUG
rnacentral:rRNA from 1 species